AGUCAUGGCUCCAGCGUUUGUGAAGAUUAUUUAUGAUGCUUCACCGUCAUCUCUGCCGUUGCCUGCUUUUUACAAUGAUGCCGUUCGAAACUUUGGCUUUCCUGUUGGGCAUGUCAGGUUGAGUACAGGUUCUCAAAUCUGGCAUGUUUACAUCAAAGCGACGACUAACGGAUGCUUUAUCACUGAUGGAUGGUCAAACGUUUUUUCGGAUCUUGGAAUUGAAA
rnacentral:lncRNA from 1 species